rnacentral:rRNA from 1 species
CACGUAGGGUGCGAGCGUUAAUCGGAAUUACUGGGCGUAAAGCGUGCGCAGGCGGUGAUGUAAGACCGAUGUGAAAUCCCCGGGCUUAACCUGGGAACUGCAUUGGUGACUGCAUUGCUGGAGUAUGGCAGAGGGGGGUGGAAUUCCACGUGUAGCAGUGAAAUGCGUAGAGAUGUGGAGGAACACCGAUGGCGAAGGCAGCCCCCUGGGUCAAGAUUGACGCUCAUGCACGAAAGCGUGGGGAGCAAACAGG